UGGGGAAUUUUGGGCAAUGGCCGAAAGGCUGACCCAGCGACGCCGCGUGCGGGAGGACGCCCUUCGGGGUGUAAACCGCUGUCAGGGGGGACGAAAGACUCAUGCGCGAACAGCGGAUGGGAGUGACGGUACCCUCAAAGGAAGCACCGGCUAACUCUGUGCCAGCAGCCGCGGUAAUACAGAGGGUGCGAGCGUUGUUCGGAAUCACUGGGCGUAAAGCGCGCGCAGGCGGGACCUGCAAGUCGGAAGUGAAAGGCCGGGGCUCAACCCCGGAGCGGCUUUCGAGACUGCGGACCUGGAGACCAGUAGGGGUUGGUGGAAUUCCCGGUGUAGCGGUGGAAUGCGUAGAGAUCGGGAAGAACACCCGUGGCGAAGGCGGCCAACUGGGCUGGAUCUGACGCUGAGGCGCGAAAGCGUGGGGAGCAAACAGG
rnacentral:rRNA from 1 species